rnacentral:rRNA from 1 species
GACGUAGGGCGCGAGCGUUGUCCGGAUUUAUUGGGCGUAAAGAGCUCGUAGGCGGUGUGUCACGUCGGCCGUGAAAACCUGCAGCUUAACUGUGGGCGUGCGGUCGAUACGGGCAUCACUGGAGUUCGGCAGGGGAGACUGGAAUUCCUGGUGUAGCGGUGAAAUGCGCAGAUAUCAGGAGGAACACCGGUGGCGAAGGCGGGUCUCUGGGACGUAACUGACGCUGAGACGCGAAAGCGUGGGGAGCAAACAGG